GACGAACGCUGGCGGCGUGCUUAACACAUGCAAGUCGAACGGAAAGGCCCUGCUUUUGUGGGGUGCUCGAGUGGCGAACGGGUGAGUAACACGUGAGUAACCUUCCCUUGACUUUGGGAUAACUUCAGGAAACUGGUGCUAAUACCGGCUAGGAGCUCCUGCUGCAUGGUGGGGGUUGGAAAGUUUCGGCGGUUGGGGAUGGACUCGCGGCUUAUCAGCUUGUUGGUGGGGUAGUUGCUUACCAAGGCUUUGACGGGUAGCCGGCCUGAGAGGGGGGACGGGCACAUGGGGACUGAGAGACGGCCCAGACUCCUACGGGAGGCAGCAGUGGGGAAUAUUGCACAAUGGGCGGAAGCCUGAUGCAGAAACGCCGCGAGCGGGAUGAAGGCCUUCGGGUUGUAAACCGCUGUAGCCUGUGACGAAGCGUGAGUGACGGUAAUGGGUAAAGAAGCACCGGCUAACUACGUG
rnacentral:rRNA from 1 species